AGAGUUUGAUCCUGGCUCAGGACGAACGCUGGCGGCGUGCCUGACCCAUGCAAGUCGAACGGGGUGUAGCAAUACACUUAGUGGCGGACGGGUGAGUAACACGUGAACAAUCUGCCUUGCGCAGGGGGAUAACGUCUGGAAACGGACGCUAACACCGCAUAAGACCACGGAAGGGCAUCCUUUUGAGGUCAAAAGAGUAA
rnacentral:rRNA from 1 species